AGGAAAGUGGAAAGGGAGCGUGCCUGUAUGUGUCCUCAGCAAAAAGUUCAGAUUCAACAACAAUCAUCAUCAAGAAGCUAGAGAGCAUUAGGAUUUACUGUUAACAUUAGGAAUCAAGCAUUGCAUCAGCUUCACAGUUACUGUAUGUGCCUCCAUGAGGAUGGCUCUUAUUGUGUUGGAAGACUGUGAAGAAAACAAUUUCAUUGAGACUAUCAAAUCAUCAAAGGAUGAUGAUACAACAAGCACACGCUCAUUGUAUUUAUUUCUUCUGGACUCCUGUCAGGUAAAGCUGUUCCUUUCUCCCUGGUUACUCAUAUCACUAUGGUAACUGGCCAAAGUAGCCCUCUCUUAUUCCUUAGUAAGGGUUAAAACCAGUUAUAUGAGUUCUUUGAGACAGAGCUGACCUCCUUGAUCAGUAGCGAAAGAAGAGGCUCUGUAGAAAUGAAAAGGAAAGUGGAAAGGGAGCAUGCCUGUAUGUGUCCUCAGCAAAAAGUUCAGAUUCAACACAAUCAUCAUCAAGAAGCUGGAGACUAUCAGGAUUUACUGUUAAGAAGGAAUCAAGCAUUGCAUUAGCUUCACAGUUAUGCGCCUCUGUGAGGAUGGCUCUUAUUGUGUUGAAAGACUGUGAAGAAAACAAUUUCAUUGAGACUAUCAAAUCAUCAAAGGCAUGCAAUGAGCACACACCCAUUGUAUUUAUUUCCUCUGGACCCCUGUCAGAUACUUGAUGCAAGAGCAGUACAUUGAUGAGCUUGUGUUCAAACGCUUGACACUGGAGUGUGAUCACCUGAUAAUGCAACCAUGACAAUUUGCAGGUACAUGUAUCUAUCAUGUAGAGUUUGGUUGAGUCAUGUUUGCUUUUUCAUUGUAAAAUGCCUUACAUUAUUUUUCAGAGUAUAUUCAGAGUGACAGUGAAUUUUGAGUGGUGUAUUAAGCCUUAAUCCCUCUUUGAAAAGAACACAUUUCCAAAACAAAAGAGAGGGAAAAAAACAGUGGAUUACUUUUUAAAUUACCCAGCCAAUUGGUAUGUGCUUAAUUCAUUUUUUACUGUUACUAGGCAAUGGAUUUAACUGGAAGCAAAUUAAACCACUAAACAGAGUUCUUUUUAAUAAUUGGUGGCUCAUUUUGUAAAACAUGUUGGUUCUGGUUUUCAGUUUCUCCCUGGACAUACAACUUUUUUGUAGCAAACACAAAACAAAAUGAAAAUUAAUUUAAUUGAGCAAUGAAGCUGUGUGCAUAUUGAAAAUGUUGUUGGGAGCCAUACAUAAUUUGGUCCCUUUAGGAAAAUUGUAAGGUCAAUGGAGGAUUUCUUAAAAUGUUCCUUCAGUUACACUUAUUUAGAUUUGAC